AUUAUUGCCAUUGAAAAUCUUUUUUAUUGUCACAGAUCUCAAGAAGAGAGGACAUGCCACCCAGUGAGGGAGCAGAUGGGCAAGCACUAAGGUCAUCCACAACUUGAAUGGAGAGGCAAGAGCUUUUAUUGUCAUCUGGAAGGAAAGGAAUGGGCAAAGCCGAGUAAGAAGGAUUCAGAUUCCUUAGAUUUAGUAAUUUCAGCAGGCUCCAGGGCAUAAGGGCUAGGUUGGUGAUACCUGGACCUAGGGGUGUCAGGUAGGUGAACAGUGGCCCAUAGUGUGAGAAGUCAAUAAAGGAGGUAGCUGGAGUUGUAGGUCUGCACUGGUUGCUGUGAUAUGACAUCCACUAUUACAGGCCAGUUGUUUACUUUCUCUGGGAACUGCUUAGCCCUGGAAAGGGACAAUCCUCCAAGGUCAGCCCAGGCAGAGAUAUCAGACAUCAGAAUACAGGAAAGACAUGGUUCAUACAAUGGGCCCUGGGAUGCUUUGACCUUUCAUUAAGGAAUUAUUGGAGUGAUGAGAGACAAAACCUUUAUAGCUUUACUCAUGUUUCCUAGGCAUGUCUCAACCCCAUCAAGAUUAUAAUCCACAUUAACCAUGACAAGUAUUUAUAUCCAUGAGAACCCAGUAGACAACCUGUCAUUAUUGCUUUGAUGGUGUUUAGCAUGAGACCAAGGAACAAGUUCUUGUGUAGGAAGCCCCAAGGCAACUAUUGGCCAUUAUGAGUGGUCCAGAGAUAUUUCAUUGCCAAAGCUUUUAUUUUGACAGAGGUUUGGGGAUUUUGUUGUUGUUUGUUUCUUUUCUUUCUUUUUUUUUUUUUUUUGCAUCGUGUGGAAUCAUUUUUUUUUAUGUUUCCUUAGCCAAAUCCUGUUGUUUAUGUGGUGCCUGUUUGAGCAUUUCUGGGUGGUCCUUUUUAUGCAGCCAUGUCCUCUUCUAGGACCACCCUCUUGACCAAAUCAAUUGGAAUGCCUAUUGAUUUUAAUUCAUAAGUAAAAUAUGUAAAUGAAGACCAGAAUAUGUUGCAACCAGUGGCCAAAAAGUGCUAAGAAAAGACAUUGGGGAUAUAUAUUUGUGUGUGUGUGUGUGUGUAUAUGUAUAUAUAUAUAUAUAUAUAUAUAUAUAUAUAUAUAUAUAUAUAUAUAUAUAUAUACUUAAUGAGUAUUUCAGAUAAAUCAUCAUAGAAGAGAGAACCCUUAAUGUGACAUAGCUUUUCUGAUGCUGCAACUAAAAGAACCCGACAUGAACAACUGUAGAAGAGGAAAAGGCUCAAUGCAUAGAAGGCUGGCUCUACUCCUUGGGGCUCGAGAUGAGGCAGAACAUCAUGGCAGAAGAGUGUGGCAGAGGGAAGCAGCUCACAUCAUGAUCAGUAAGCCUAGAGAGACUCCCCUUGCCAUGUUCAAAUAUAUACCCCAAAGUCACAACCCCAUUUCCCUCCUCCUUCACCCUACCACUUCAGUUAUCACUCAGUUAAUCCCUAUCAGGGGAUUAAUUCACCAAUUGGGUUAUAACUCUCACAAUCCAGUGAUUUCUCCUCUGAACCUUCUUGCAGUGUCUCACACCCUAAUCCUCACCCUAACCCUGAACCUAAACCUAACUCUAAUUCUAACCCUAACCAUAACAGAUGUCAUGCCUGGGUUCCUGGAAAAAGGUCCAUGUUAUCAAGAUCUUAUAUGCUGAGGUUGUGGGUAACAACAAAGGUGCUCUUAUAUCUAUAUAGCCUAGAAAAGGUGAGUUGUAUCCCUUUGGAGAUAGAGGCACCAUGCAGCUUCAAAGCUGCAGGAAUAGUCACUGAACGAAAUAGUUUAUCCAAAUCUAUCGUACAGUAUAUUUAUUAGUGAUAGAACAGAUGUAGCCAGCAAUUUUAAUAAUACUGAAUUUUAGUUAGGAAGUCUUUGAUAGAUGGAAACAAAGCAUUAAGUCGUAGUAAAGAAUCAUGAAGCACCUUUUAUUUCCUUUACUUAUGUAUGUAUUUGUUUCGUCUUUAAAAGAGAUGAACUUGGUUAGUCAAAUGUAGAACCAGCUGAUAUAAUCUACUCCUUAUUAAUUAAGCUUUGUAUAAUUAAUUUUUUACUCAAAAGCCCUGCUUUGACUUCAUACAAGUAGGAAAAUUGAACUAUUUGAUAUGAGUGUUGGGGAUAUAGCUCAGUUGGUAGAGUGCUUGCCUCAAACGCACAAGGCCCUGGGUUCUAAUACUAAGCACCACCAAAAGCAACAACAACAACAAAAAAAGAGUUCUGGAGUAUUUAGGGAAUCCAAUUUUAUCAAGGUAAUUUGUAAGUGCCAAAACUUAUUUCAAUCUUAAUAUAUUAUUCACAAUGUUGGACUAUUUAUGUCUAACAAAAUAUUUUUAAUCAGUGACUAUUAUGAUUAUAGUAAAUUUAGGAAAGGCAGGCGUAGCCAUUUUUCUCUAUUAAAUUUAGUUACCUCUUUAAGAUUGGAGGCUAUAGCUGGGCACAGUGGUGCAGGACUGUAAUCCCAGCAGUUUGGGUGGCUGAGGCAGGAGAAUUCGAGUUCAAGGCCAGUCUCAGCAAUUUAGACAGGGCCUAAGGAAUUUAGCAAGACCCUAUCUCAAAAUACAAUAUGAAAAAAGGGCUGGAGGAUGUGGUUCAGUGAUUAAGUACUCCUGAGUUCAAUUCCCAGCACAAAAAUAAAGAGAGAAAGAAAAGGAAAGAAAAGAAAGAAAGAUAGAUAGAUAGAUAGAUUGAUUGAUUGAUUAGAGGUUCUUUUUGGUACCAGGGAUUGAACUCAGGGGCACUCAACCACUGAGUCACAUCCGCAGCCCUAUUUUGUAUUUUAUUUAGAGACAAGGUCUUGCUGAGUUGCUUGGAACGUAGCUAUUUCUGAGUCUGAGUCUGGCUUUGAACUCACAAUCAUCCUGCCUCAGCCUCCCAAUUUGUUGAGAUUAUAGGUGUGUGCCACCACGCCAGGCAAAGCUAUUUUUUUAAAAUUUUCUUUAGAUUUUUAUCUACCUGCUAUUAUUGUUAUUAGUUUCUAUUUCUGAAUGGAAAGGGGAAUAGCAAGAUGGAGAAGGGACCUGGUGACCCUGGGCAGCAGCCUUUCCUUGAGACAUCUCCCCCACCAGCAAGACCUCAACUUCCUCAACUUUUAAGUAAGUCUUUAGAA
rnacentral:lncRNA from 1 species